rnacentral:rRNA from 1 species
UACGGAGGGUGCAAGCGUUAUCCGGAUUCACUGGGUUUAAAGGGUGUGUAGGCGGGGAUUUAAGUCAGUGGUGAAAUCUCCAGGCUCAACCUGGAAACUGCCAUUGAUACUAUUUAUCUUGAAUUCUGUUGAGGUGGGCGGAAUACAUCAUGUAGCGGUGAAAUGCUUAGAUAUGAUGUAGAACACCGAUUGCGAAGGCAGCUCACUAAGCAGCGAUUGACGCUGAGGCACGAAAGCGUGGGGAGCAAACAGG